rnacentral:rRNA from 1 species
AAUCAACGCUGGCGGCGUGCCUCAGACAUGCAAGUCGAACGCGAAAGUUUCCUUCGGGAAGCGAGUAGAGUGGCGUCCGGGUGAGUAACACGUAGGUAAUCUACCUUUGGGUGGGGAAUAACAACCGGAAACGGUUGCUAAUACCGCAUAAUGCAGCGGCACCACAUGGUGACAGUUGUUAAAGCGGGGGAUCGCAAGACCUCGCGCCUAAAGAGGAGCCUGCGGCGGAUUAGCUAGNGGUAAGGUAACGGCUUACCAAGGCAACGAUCCGUAGCCGGCCUGAGAGGGCGGUCGGCCACACUGACACUGAAAUACGGGUCAGACUCCUACGGGAGGCAGCAGUCGGGAAUUUUGGGCAAUGGGCGAAAGCCUGACCCAGCAACGCCGCGUGAAGGAUGAAAAUCCCUCGGGAUGUAAAACUUCGCAAGAACAGGAAGAAUAAGUAAGGGGACAAUACCCCCUAUGAUGACGGUACUGUUUGUAAGCUCCGGCUAACUCCGUGCCAGCCGCCGCAGUAAU